rnacentral:misc_RNA from 1 species
AGUCGUAACAAGGUUUCCGUAGGUGAACCUGCGGAAGGAUCAUUACCAAUCCAAAAUCUUGAAAAAAAAAACAUUGUGCACCUAAACAGUACCUUUGGGUUUUUUUAUUUUUAUUUUUAUAUUCAUCUCUUCUUCUUUUUUUAUUUUUGGUAGUAAUUUAUUAUUAUUAAAAAAUGAAAAGAAAAGGAAAAUGAAUUGAAAUAACAAAGAAAAAAACCCAUAUUAAAACUAUAUCACCCUAUAACCAAAUGUUUGAAAUUGGUUUUUCUUCUUUUUUUGGAAACUUUAAAAGAUUAAAAAUUUUGUUGGAUUUAUAUAAAUAAAAUACAACUUUUGGCGGUGGAUCUCUUGGCUCAU